CAGAUGACUGAGGCAGGGAUCGAUCCCGGAAUCUUUGAUGAUCAUCAGACAGCAGAGAUUGCAGAACUUAAGUGUAUUAUCUGCAGGGGUGUUCUGCUUGAUGCAGUGUAUGGAACACACAUGAACAGCCACCGAUAUUGCAGAUUAUGCAUCGGCCAGUGGCUCAGGACCAAUCGCAAAUGUCCUCUGUGCAGGGUAGCCAUGAGGAUGUCCGAAGUGGCUACAGACCAUGAUGCCAACAGGAAGGUCAAGAGGUUGUUGGUCAGGUGUACCAAUGGAGGAGACCUACUGGAAGAUGACCAGUGUGACUGGCGGGGGCCUUAUGGAAACCUGGCGCACCAUAAUGGCAGCUGCCUGUAUGCGGAG